rnacentral:rRNA from 1 species
AGUGAAACACUGAUUCCUGUACAAUCAUCGAAGUUAAGCAACAUCGAACCUGGUCAGUACCUAGAUGGGUGACCACUUGGGAAUACCAGGUGCUGUAAG